UGCAAACAGGGAAAUGAGGAGAGAUGGGUUAAAAAAAAUCGAGGAAAUUAAAAGACGAGUGGAAAGGAAGCGGUACCACCAGCGGCCAGGCAUCGUGGUAUUUCUAAACUGUGUACGGGGGAAUGGGCAGCCCAUUGAAGCAUGGCAGACCACCUGAGAGUUGUUUUCUGGUCACCUGACACCAGUGAUCCUGAGAAGGUGCACCGCACUGGAUUUCAUAUGAAAAGAUCUUACUGCUUUGGAAUGACAUGAGAGUGCAAACCAUUUUAGGUUUAGGCUUAGGAGUGAGGAGACGAAUCAUUUCUGUUAUGAAUGGAUGAUUUGGAGCCAGAGGUGAAUCAUACAGGGGUUUGUUUGUAUCUGUGCCUCUGAUCCCCCUCUGAUAGUCCCUACACCACGCAACAUCUGUCACGCGGCAUGCCACAAUCGCUCACGUAGAGCGUUAGGUGAUGCUGGUGUAUGGUAAUUCCUGCUACACGGUCCACAUGGGCAUCCCCAAUGCCAGUGCUCAUUAGCAGGCAGGUGGCGUCAGAGAUUCGACUGGGUCCGAGACGAGGAAUAGAACCUGGCAAACCGGGUUGUACGUCCGCAUCGGGUAAUCCCCGCCAGGUUGCCAGGAUAUCAGGAGUGACAUCACAAAGCCAACAAAAAUUAGCAUCCCUAAUGAUCUGCCAGGCCAAACAUUAUUCUUCAUGAUGAGAAGCAGUCAUGCCUGCCCAGGGCUCCUGAUGAUUUGGCCAAAAGCAGUGGAGGCCCCUAAGCUCUCAGCUCCAGCCAAAAUCAACAGGCUCUAUUCUCCAACCCAUGAAGACCGAUUCUACUCUACUGGAAAUUAAGUUCCUGAGGAAAUUCCUUGGUAUAUUCCCAUCAUACUGCUGAUGCCUUCAGAUUCUAGAAGAUCGUUGGAAAUUACUUAUGUGUAUGGAAAGGAAGAGACUCUUACCCGGUCCAGUGAAAAACACCUUGACUAGAUUUAGAAGCUAAAACCAAGAAAGAUCAAUGAGAGGAGAGUGGGAGAGUGGCAGAUUUAAUUAAUUACUGCACAUUAGAAUGUUUGUUUACAAAAGUGAACAGUUACAAGGGGCCUGAUGGUAAUUAAUUUAAAACGUACUUCCCCCUGUCUCUGCCUUGCGUCGGCACUAGACGUGGUUGUUUCAUGGCAGGUGAGCCUACGUCUCAUUGGAUUUCCAUCAAUUGCUCAAAGCUGUGGUCAGGAAGGUCUCUCGAGGUCCCCCUCCAGGACAAUGAUGUAUUUAAGUCUCCUAAGAGGUCAGAUGGACUCUGUCCAGAACAUCACCUGCAAUCAAUAGUGCUGGUAAACCAGGCUCAACUGAGUAGCCAUGAAGACUCCCCUUAUAAACACGCUCACAGAGAGGCCGGCAUGGCCCAUUGCUUUACUAAAACUGCAACCAACAUCCUGACACACGCACACACACACACACACACACACGCAACACAUGCCACCACUCUGAAAACAAGUGUUGAUGACAAAGAGAAGAAAAAUAACAGCACCUCAGCGGUAAGUGGAGAGCCUCCAGGUGAUGAAAUCCUCUCUAAAGUGAGACAAAAUUGAGGCAAAUUGACAGCCAUGUGAAUGUGUUAUAAAUGCUAGUGUGUGACACUGCUGUGGAGCAAUGAGUUCACUGAAGUGAUAGCUGAGAUUUUAUUUUAUUUUUUAUUUUAACUUAUUAACUGAAUAUUGAAAUAUAAUCAACUAUUCUAAUCAACAAAAAAUUUAAUUUAAAUAAUUUUAAAAACAUUUCAGUAAAAUGAAAUAUAUUUAUGAAAUAAAAAAGGUAAAUUAAUUGAAAAUCAUGAAUUAUUAUUUUUUACAUUUUAUUUUACUGCAGCUAGAU